rnacentral:rRNA from 1 species
GGGAUUGCCUCAGUAACGGCGAGUGAAGUGGCAACAGCUCAAAUUUGAAAUCUGGCCCCUUCGGGGUCCGAGUUGUAAUUUGUAGAGAGUGUUUCGGGGGAGAACGCGGUCUAAGUCCAUUGGAACAUGGCGUCAUAGAGGGUGAGAAUCCCGUAUGUGACCGCGGCUCGAGCCCAUGUGAAGCCUCUUCGACGAGUCGAGUUGUUUGGGAAUGCAGCUCAAAAUGGGUGGUAAAUUUCAUCUAAAGCUAAAUACUGGCUGGAGACCGAUAGCGCACAAGUAGAGUGAUCGAAAGAUGAAAAGCACUUUGGAAAGAGAGUUAAACAGUACGUGAAAUUGUUGAAAGGGAAGCGCUUGCAACCAGACCUGCCCGUGGGCGAUCAGCCGCUGUUCUCAGCGGUGCACUCGUUCCGCGAUCAGGCCAGCAUCGGUUUCGGCGGCCGGAUAAAGGCCCUGGGAAUGUAGCUCCCCUUCGGGGGAGUGUUAUAGCCCUCGGUGCAAUGCGGCCAGCCGGGACCGAGGACCGCGCUUCGGCUAGGAUGCUGGCGUAAUGGUUGUAAGCGACCCGUCUUGAAACACGGACCAAGGAGUCUAACAUCUAUGCGAGUGUUUGGGUGUCAAACCCAUGCGCGGAAUGAAAGUGAACGGAGGUGAGAACCCUGAAGGGCGCAUCAUCGACCGAUCCAGAUGUCUUCGGAUGGAUUUGAGUAUGAGCAUAGCUGUUGGGACCCGAAAGAUGGUGAACUAUGCCUGAAUAGGGUGAAGCCAGAGGAAACUCUGGUGGAGGCUCGCAGCGGUUCUGACGUGCAAAUCGAUCGUCAAAUUUGGGUAUAGGGGCGAAAGACUAAUC